rnacentral:rRNA from 1 species
UACGUAGGGGGCAAGCGUUGUCCGGAUUUAUUGGGCGUAAAGAGCGUGUAGGCGGUCAGGCAGGUCCGUUGUGAAAACUCGAGGCUCAACCUCGAGACGCCGAUGGAAACCAUCUGACUAGAGUCCGGAAGAGGAGAGUGGAAUUCCUGGUGUAGCGGUGAAAUGCGCAGAUAUCAAGAAGAACACCCGUGGCUAAGGCGGCUCUCUAGUACGGUACUGACGCUGAGACGCGAAAGCGUGGGGAGCGAACAGG